CCUACGGGCGGCAGCAGUGGGGAAUAUUGGACAAUGGGCGAAAGCCUGAUCCAGCCAUGCCGCGUGUGUGAAGAAGGCCUUCGGGUUGUAAAGCACUUUCAGUGGGGAAGAAAGCCUUGGGGCUAAUACCCUCGAGGAAGGACAUCACCCACAGAAGAAGCACCGGCUAACUCCGUGCCAGCAGCCGCGGUAAUACGGAGGGUGCGAGCGUUAAUCGGAAUUACUGGGCGUAAAGCGCGCGUAGGCGGUCUGAUAAGCCGGUUGUGAAAGCCCCGGGCUCAACCUGGGAACGGCAUCCGGAACUGUCAGGAUAGAGUGCAGGAGAGGAAGGUAGAAUUCCCGGUGUAGCGGUGAAAUGCGUAGAGAUCGGGAGGAAUACCAGUGGCGAAGGCGGCCUUCUGGACUGACACUGACGCUGAGGUGCGAAAGCGUGGGUAGCAAACAGGAUUAGAUACCCUUGUAGUC
rnacentral:rRNA from 1 species